GACGAACGCUGGCGGCGUGCCUAAUACAUGCAAGUAGAACGCAGUUGCGAACGGGUGAGUAACGCGUAGGUAACUGCCUCAUAGCGGGGGAUAACUAUUGGAAACGAUAGCUAAUACCGCAUACUGUGAGAUGGACCUGCGUUGUAUUAGCUAGUUGGUGAGGUAAAGGCUAACCAAGGCGACGACCCCUAGCUGGUCUGAGAGGAGGAUCAGCCACACUGGAUCUGAGACACGGAACAGACUCAUACGGGAGGCAGCAGGGGGGAAUAUUGCACAAUGGGGGAAACCCGGAUGCAGCCAUGCCGCGUGUGUGAAGAAGGCCUUCGGUUUGUAAAGCACUUUCAGCGAGGAGCGUUACUCGCAGAAGAAGCACCGGCUAACUCCGUGCCAGCAGCCGCGGUAAUA
rnacentral:rRNA from 1 species